rnacentral:rRNA from 1 species
UUGGGAAUCUUGCGCAAUGGGGGAAACCCUGACGCAGCGACGCCGCGUGCGGGAUGACGGUCUUCGGAUUGUAAACCGCUUUUUCCAGGGACGAUAAUGACGGUACCUGGUGAAUAAGCCCCGGCUAACUCCGUGCCAGCAGCCGCGGUAAGACGGAGGGGGCAAGCGUUGUCCGGAAUUACUGGGCGUAAAGCGCUCGUAGGCGGUCUUGUACGGCGGUGGUAAAAGCUCCCGGCUUAACUGGGAGAGGCCCGUCGCAACGGCGAGACUUGAGGUUGGUAGAGGCAGAUGGAAUUCCUGGUGUAGCGGUGAAAUGCGUAGAGAUCAGGAGGAACACCCAUGGCGAAGGCAGUCUGCUGGGCCACACCUGACGCUGAGGAGCGAAAGCCAGGGGAGUGAACGGG